UGGGGGGUUUGAGAGUCGUUAAGGGUGGGAUGUGUUCGUUGUUGGUCAUUAUCACGUGACAAUGAUAACAUCAAUGUGCCCAAACAUCGCUUUAAAGGAAUGUUCUUUGUUUAGAUGCUUUUAUUCUAUUGAAGAGACUAGACAUAUUUUAAGUUCAUCAGUUUAGAGAAAUUGUUAAUAAAAAAAUAAUAAGAAUGCAACGUGGCAAGGCUUUACGUUCUCGGUCCAGAAAUAUUGUCAAUUCAGUUUAUGAAUAUUUUGAGGAAGAACGAAUGAAGCAGCAACCCGUUAUUGACAUCAAUAAAGUAGUUGAAAGAACUGCGAUUGCAACCAAUGUUUCUGUAUCGACCAUAAAAAGAAUACGAGCGGAACAUAGGAAAAUCGUAAAAGAAGGUGGACAUUUCAGAUCACCGAGAAAAAAACCGAACAUCACAACGGAUCGUAUUCGAUGAUUUUGACAAAGCUCUACUUAGGAGAAUUAUACACAAUUAUUAUACUGAGA
rnacentral:lncRNA from 1 species